rnacentral:rRNA from 1 species
AGUGAACGCUGGCGGCAGGCCUAACACAUGCAAGUCGAACGGCAGCACAGGAGAGCUUGCUCUCUGGGUGGCGAGUGGCGGACGGGUGAGGAAUGCGUCGGAAUCUGCCUAUUUGUGGGGGAUAACGUAGGGAAACUUACGCUAAUACCGCAUACGACCUACGGGUGAAAGUAGGGGACCGCAAGGCCUCACGCAGAUAG